UCUGAAAGGUUCCUUCUGACUGGUGCCUAUGGGAGGUUACCUAAGCAGGGUUGCAUUGUUUUGCAACUGAUGCUGUUCUGUCUGAGGAGAGACAAGACUUCAACCAACUACCUCCUAUGACAUGGUCAUGUGACUGAAGGACAUAUUCCUGUCAGAAACUGUCUCUGCAUAUGAGUGGCAACUCUUCAGCAAUAACACCCAGCAGUAACAGAGAACUGUGCUGCAUAGAAGAUAGGAUUUCUACAGAAUAUGAAUUCUUGUGCUUUUGAAGUGUGUUGGAUUCAGACAGCAGGAAACUGAACAAUGCAGAAACUUAAAGGAGACUUGAGAUGACAACAGGCAUGGUCUUACCAUGCUGAAAGUCUAUAGAUUUCAGUAUGCAUGCCGCUCCUCAUCAUGUGUCUAAACAUACAGAUCUGAAGAAUUCUUUUUCCAAUAAUGAGGAUUGUGGACACUCCAUGCUAAAAGAAAUUAGCAUUCUGUACCCAGCUAAUCCACACUCAUUGCUGAGAACAGCUGACUUCUGCAACAUGGAAUAAAUCAUGCAAAUUGAACAUAUC